GAGACUCACAGUAACACAGAUCUACAGCUCAGAGCACAGACAACAUUAACACACACCUGAUCUGACAGUCAACAUGGAAAAACACCUGCUUCUGCUUUUAAUUCUGACUUCAGGUGUGAUGAGUGCAGACCAGAUUGGACCAAAUCAAGAAACUAAUGUCAUAAAAAAGGAAGACGAGACUGUGACCCUCAGCUGCUCAUAUGAAGCAAGCAGCAGUUAUGUUGAUCUGUACUGGUACAGACAGUAUCUUAAUGGAGAGCUUCACUAUUUAAUAUAUAAGAAUCCAAGUGGUGGAGGUGGCAGCCCAGCUGAUCCUCGCUUUCAGUCGACUACACCACAAUCAUCCACUAAACUCACUAUUACUGGUGUAACUCUGUCAGAUUCAGCUCUCUAUUAUUGUGCUCUAAGAGUUGGAGCCCAGUGA